CGGAAACUAUUUCCGACGAGGAUC
rnacentral:siRNA from 1 species